rnacentral:tRNA from 1 species
GCCAACGUAGCUCAGUUGGUAGAGCAACUGAUUCGUAAUCAGUAGGUCGUCAGUUCAAUUCUGAUCGUUGGCUCCA